AUGGCUACUUCUUCUAUUUGUGCACUAUGCGAUGCAGAUGACUCGUGGAUGCACUCACUCCUCCUCUGCUCGACGGUGCGGUGUGUGUGGGCAUUAUCUGAACCAGAGCUAGUUGAACAUAUAUUGACCACCGAAGAAGCAAACCCAAAAAACUGGAUUUUCACAAUGUUGGAAUCAGUAUCGCAUCUGGAGUUCACAAAAAUGGUGGUAACAUUAUGGGCGAUUUCGUCGGCGCGAUGGAAACUUAUCCAUGAAGGCGAACAUCAAAGCCCAAUGUCGACACACAUAUUUGUAAAUUCCUACCUGGAUGAUCUACAGCUCGCAAUCCCAAAGCAGAGAACUAGAGCACCAGCGCAUGUAACUGCUGCAACUAGAAGAUGGGUUCCACUACCAGCCAGUUUUCACAAGCUUAAUGUUGAUGCGGCCGUUGACAAGAAUGGGCAGAAGGGAUCUAUUUCUGUAGUAUGUCGCAAUGAGGAGGGAUUAUAUGCUGGCUCAUCCACACUGGUGUACCAGGGACUGACGGACCCUAUGAUCCUCGAGGCCCUUGUAUGUAGAAAGGCGCUCGCUUUGGCAAAAGAUCUUAUGCUGCAGCAGCUAACGGUAGUGUCUGAUUGCAAAUCAGUGGUGAUGGACAUACAUACUUGCACUAUGGGAGCGAUUGCAUCAAUUGUCCAUGAGAUAGUAGAUACCUCUAAGGAUUUUCUUACUUGUAAUUUUGUGUUUGAAAGCAGGCUCUCCAAUAUGGAAGCACAUAGACUAGCUAGACAUGCUUUACAUCUAGAGGAGGGGCGCCAUGUGUGGCUGAUGAACCCCCACGAUCCCUCUAUAAUUCCUGUUCUCCGAACUCUUGAUCAAUAA
rnacentral:rRNA from 1 species